ACAAGUAAUAAUUCAUGAGAUCAAUAAUGAAUGAGUAAUAGAGAAGCAAGUAGUAUAUCUUAAUUAAAUAAUAAUGGAGUAUUAAGAUAUAAUUUUUUUCAAUUCUUAUUGAACAAUUUAAGGAAUAUUAUCGAAACGAAAUUCAACAUUCAAUAGUGAAAUUUGAGGAAAGGAAGGAGAUAUUAAUUUGGACAACGUGCUCACUCUGGUAAAGCCUGUUUCUAAUAAGUUUAGCGCCACGAUGUGAUCUUUCUCGUCGAUCAUGAAGUAUCUAGAAGACAUGCAAGAGAUGGAUUGAAAUCGGAGCACAAAUUAAA